UUAAAGAUAAACUCUCAAAACUUGAUACCUUUAACCUCUCAAGCUAAUCUUCGUUUUAAUCUUGAUAAGUCUAAAUCUUCUGAUUCAUCCUUAUCUUUAAGGUUUACAAUAAUUAUCUCUUGCCAAAUCGUAAUUAAUAUCUCCAACCAAUAAGAUGACGCCACGUCAUAAUACCUUAUGACUUGUGCAACCACGAAGCAACGUCGAACACAUUUAUUCACAGACUCCUAGUCUCAACAAUCUCCCCCUUUUUCACUGAGUUUUACAACUCAAGCUUACUAGCUAACAAUAGCAAGAAACUCCCCCUUAACUAAGUAUCAUCAAACUGAAACAACUCUUCAUUCUCCCUCUGCUUGAGUGACAAAACUUUUUGAAAAUCUCCAUAACAUAUAAUCCCUUUGUCACAUCUCUUAGAAC
rnacentral:lncRNA from 1 species